CCAGCGCGUGCCCGCCCGGCGCCCUCUAGGGUGGAAGGCUGCGGGCGUCCUACCAGUGCCAGGACUGCCAGAGCGGGAGGAGCGCGGCGCGGGCCAGCCGGGACUGCUGGACAGCGGGGUCCAGGCUAGAGGCGAGCGAGCGGUCAGUGACGGCUGUGGAGGAGGGAGGCGCUGGGCGUCAGCGCGGGACCCGAGCCUCUGGACCACUGAGCUGGGGGGCUGGCUGAGGUCCACCUCCUAACAAAUUAUUGGAAGGAAUAUGAGAAAAAUGGAGUUUCACUCUUGUCACCCAGGCUGGAGUGCAAUAGAGCGAUCAUGGCUCACUGCAACCUCUGCCCCCCGGGUUCAAGCGAUUCUCCUGCCUCAGCCUCUCAAGUAGCUGGGAUUACAAGUGCCCACCACCACGCCCAGCUAAUUUUUGUAUUUUUAGUAAAGAUGGGGUUUCACCACAUUGGCCAGGCUGGUCUCUAACUCCUGACCUCACGUGAUUCAUCCAUCUCAGCCUCCCAAAGUGCUGGGAUUACAGGCAUGAGCCACUGUGCCUGGCCUAUACUUAUAUUUUCUUCUGUGAUUUUAAUAUUUUAGUGUUUAUGUUUUGGUCUAUGAUCCAUUUUGAGUAAAUUUUUAUAUUUGGUAUAAGGUAGGGGUCCAACUUUAUUUAUUUUUGAGAUGGAGGCUUACUCUAUUGCCCAGGCAGGCAUGCAAUGGUGCGAUCCAGCUCACUGCAACCUCUGUGUCCCAGGCUCAAGUGAUUCUCCCACCUCAGCCAUCUGAGUAGCUCGGAUUACAGGCCCCAUCACUAUGGUAAUUUUUAAAUUUUUAGUAGAGACGGGGUUUCACCAUGUUGGCCAGGCUGGUCUCGAACUCAUGACCUCAAGUGAUCUGCCCGCCUCUGCCCUACAAAGUGCUGGGAUUACAGGCGUGAGCCACCGUGCCUGGCCUCCAGCUUUAUUCUUUUUUUUUUUUUUUUUUUGAGACAGAGUCUUGUUCUGUCACCCAGGCUGGAGUGCUGGAGUGCAGUGGCGCGAUCUCGGCUCACUGCAAGCUCCGCCUCCUGGGUUCACGCCAUUCUCCUGCCUCAGCCUCCCGAGUAGCUGGGACUACAGGCGCCUGCCACCACGCCUGGCUAAUUUUUUGUAUUUUUAGUAGAGAUGGGGUUUCUCCAUGUUAGCCAGGAUGGUCUCGAUCUCCUGACCUCGUGGUCUGCCUGCCUCGGCCUCCCAAAAGUGCUGGGAUUACAGGCGUGAGCGACCAUGCCCGGCCAACUUUAUUCUUUUAGAUGUGGAUGUCUAGUUGUUCCAGAAGUAUCUGUUAAAAAUGUUACUCUUUCUCCAUUGGAUUAUUUUGGCAACCUUAUAAACAAUCAAUUGACCAUAA
rnacentral:lncRNA from 1 species